rnacentral:rRNA from 1 species
GAUGAACGCUGGCGGCGUGCCUAAUACAUGCAAGUCGAGCGAACAGACGAGGAGCUUGCUCCUCUGACGUUAGCGGCGGACGGGUGAGUAACACGUGUAUAACCUACCUAUAAGACUGGGAUAACUUCGGGAAACCGGAGCUAAUACCGGAUAAUCUCUUGAACCGCAUGGUUCAAUAGUGAAAGACGGUUUUGCUGUCACUUAUCGAUGGAUCCGCGCCGCAUUAGCUAGUUGGUAAGGUAACGGCUUACCAAGGCAACGAUGCGUAGCCGACCUGAGAGGGUGAUCGGCCACACUGGAACUGAGACACGGCCCAGACUCCUACGGGAGGCAGCAGUAGGGAAUCUUCCGCAAUGGGCGAAAGCCUGACGGAGCAACGCCGCGUGAGUGAUGAAGGUCUUCGGAUCGUAAAACUCUGUUAUUAGGGAAGAACAAAUGUGUAAGUAACUAUGCACGUCUUGACGGUACCUAAUCAGAAAGCCACGGCUAACUACGUG